rnacentral:pre_miRNA from 1 species
AAAGUACUCCCUCCGUCCCAAAAUUCUUGUCUUAGAUUUGUCUAGAUAUGGAUGUAUCAAGUCACAUUUUAGUAUUAGAUACAUCCGUAUCUAGACAAAUCUAAGACAAGAAAUUUGGGACAGAGGUAGUAGUUG